rnacentral:lncRNA from 1 species
AUGGUGGGUUGGGCAAUUGGGGAAGCACGAAAUGGAUUGCUAUGGAAUAAUAAGAAAAGUCGGCCUGAACAAGUCAGCUUGCAUGCAUCUAUGAGGCUACAGGAUUUUUUGCGGGUUAAUAAUUGCUUGGGGUCUCAAAGUAGGCAAGGUCAAAUAAAACAAAUGUGGCAACCACCACAUGAGAACAGUCUUAAAAUAAAUGUGGAUGGUGCUUGGAAGCCAGGGACCACGGAGGGUGGCGUUGGUGUGGUUGUGAGAGACUCCACGGGCAAAUUUGUGGCGGGUUGUGCAACUAAAUUGACUAAUGUUUUCUCUGCGCCACAAGUAGAGGCCUUGGCGGCAAGAACAGGUACAAUAUUGGCGAUGGAAAGGGGUUAUCAAAAUGUUGUCUUUGAAAGUGAUGCUCUCCAGAUCGUUACAGCACUUCGAAAUCACUCCAUAGAUAGGUCCGUCCUAGGACCAGUGGUGGAGGAUACCAAGAGCUUGCUAACACAUAUCACUGGGGAAGGUUUUACCCAUAUUCAUCGUACUGCUAAUGGUGUGGCUCAUCGUUUAGCUCGUUUUGCCUUGCAUAUUGGGGGUUCUUUAUACUGGUUCGAG